GGCCUCGUAGCUCAGUUGGCUAGAGCGUUGGCUGUGCUAAAACCUUCCCCUUUCCGGCGUGGGUUCGAAUACUACCUAGGCCG
rnacentral:tRNA from 1 species